rnacentral:rRNA from 1 species
UACGAAGGGGGCUAGCGUUGUUCGGAAUUACUGGGCGUAAAGGGCGCGUAGGCGGUGUGUCAAGUCAGGCGUGAAAGCCCCGGGCUCAACCUGGGAACCGCGCUUGAGACUGGCACGCUCGAGUUCGGGAGAGGAUGGUGGAAUUCCCAGUGAUAGAGGUGAAAUUUCGUAAGAUAUUGGGAAGAACACCGAUGGCGAAGGCAGCCAUCUGGACCGACACUGACGCUGAGACACGAAAGCCAGGGGAGCAAACGGGG